rnacentral:rRNA from 1 species
GAUGAACGCUGGCGGCGUGCCUAAUACAUGCAAGUCGAACGAAACUUCUUUAUCACCGAGUGCUUGCACUCACCGAUAAAGAGUUGAGUGGCGAACGGAUGAGUAACACGUGGGUAACCUGCGCAAAAGAGGGGGAUAACACUCGGAAACAGGUGCUAAUACCGCAUAACCAUCGUUACAGCAUGGUAACUAUGUAAAAGGUGGCUAUACUACCGCUUUUGGAUGGGCGCGCGGCGCAUUAGCUAGUUGGUCGGGUAAAGGUUUACCAAGGCAACGAUGCGUAGCCGAACUGAGAGGUUGAUCAGCCACAUUGGGACUGAGACACGGCCCAAACUCCUGCGGGAGGCAGCAGUAGGGAAUCUUCGACAAUGGGCGAAAGCCUGAUGGAGCAACGCCGCGUGGGUGAAGAAGGUCUUCGGAUCGUAAAACCCUGUUGUUGGGGAAGAAAGGGAGUGAGAGUAACUGUUCACGUUUUGACGGUAUCUAACCAAAAAGCCACGGCUAACUACGUG